rnacentral:rRNA from 1 species
UACUAGAGUAGCACUCGCAUAUCAAUAAGCGGAGGAAAAGAAACUAACAAGGAUUCCCCUAGUAACGGCGAGUGAAGCGGGAAGAGCUCAAAUUUGAAAUCUUCAAGGGUUUCCCUUGACGAAUUGUAGUUUAUAGAAGUGUUUUCUGUUAGAGAGGUGGUAAAAGUCCUUUGGAAUAGGACAUCAUAGAGGGUGAGAAUCCCGUAUUUGAUCACUUUCUACUAACGUUGUGAUACACUUUCAACGAGUCGGAUUGUUUGGGAAUGCAGUCCAAAAUGGGUGGUAAAUUUCAUCUAAAGCUAAAUAUUGGCGAGAGACCGAUAGCGAACAAGUACCGUGAGGGAAAGAUGAAAAGAACUUUGAAAAGAGAGUUAAACAGUACGUGAAAUUGUCAAAAGGGAAGCGUUUGACACCAGUGCUGUUUUUCCGAAAAUCAAUUACGAAUGUUUUGUUUUUGAGAAGUUAUGACUUCAUCGGCUUGCUUCUUCUCUUUACGAAACUUUCUUAAUGCACUUUUCGGUCAACAAGUCAACAUCAAUUUCUUUUGUUGUAAAAGGGUAUGAGGAAGGUGGCUUUCUUUUCGGAGAAAGUGUUUAUAGCCUUGUAGCCUCUGCAAUCGGAGAGAUUGAGGUCUGCAGAGUAGAUCCUUCGGGGUUAGAUACAUUUGUGCUAAGUUAUAGCUAUUUCAUAGACAACUUGUUGACUAUGUUAGUCUUGUAGCUUACUCGCUUAUGCUAUUUUACCUACGCUUAGGAUGUUGAAGAUGUAGCACAUCAU